rnacentral:rRNA from 1 species
UAGGGAAUUUUCGUCAAUGGGGGAAACCCUGAACGAGCAAUGCCGCGUGAGUGAAGAAGGUCUUCGGAUCGUAAAGCUCUGUUGUAAGUGAAGAACGGCUCAUAGAGGAAAUGCUAUGGGAGUGACGGUAGCUUACCAGAAAGCCACGGCUAACUACGUGCCAGCAGCCGCGGUAAUACGUAGGUGGCAAGCGUUAUCCGGAAUCAUUGGGCGUAAAGGGUGCGUAGGUGGCGUACUAAGUCUGUAGUAAAAGGCAAUGGCUCAACCAUUGUAAGCUAUGGAAACUGGUAUGCUGGAGUGCAGAAGAGGGCGAUGGAAUUCCAUGUGUAGCGGUAAAAUGCGUAGAUAUAUGGAGGAACACCAGUGGCGAAGGCGGUCGCCUGGUCUGUAACUGACGUUGAGGCUCGAAAGCGUGGGGAGCAAACAGGAUUAGAUACC